AGACACUAUUGCCAGUGGGUUUUCUAGAAGUGGUGAUCAUGGGCACCAAAUUAUCCCCUCCCUCUCCCUGCAUUCUCCCAUUAUCGUCUACCCUUGGUUAAAUACGCUGAAAAAAGAACUGAAGCGGAGUUAAGUACGAGGAAGCCUUAAAGACGCACUUUCUGGCAGCCCCCCGCCCCCUUUCCCCGCAGUGGAGGCUGCCCCAGGUCUACAGGUGCCGCCUUCGCCCGGCCUCGCGUAGCCCACAGCAGGGGCCGCCCGCCCGCCGAAGUUGAAGGCGCACCUCCCCUUCCCGGGAAGGACGACGGUUCCCCAAAAGAGGCGGAGGGUAGUCUCUCAUCUGAACCAGGCGCUUUAAUGCCUGCCUGAAGCCACCGCGGCCAGCGUGGAGACCACGCAGCGGGCGGGCGGCUGCAAGCCCUGGGCUCCGAGCGCCUCUCCUGUGCGGGUCCCGCCCCCCUCCCCGCAUUCCUCUCGUUCUGCUCCCGAGCCCAGGCCACGCUGAAGGAAGUACUUGGGCAGUCUCUUUCCUGGAGAACGGGCCCGCCGGUUCCGGAAGCCUCUCCUACCCCCAGGCUGGUCACCUCGGACUACCGACCCGGGACAAGAAGUCCAAGCAGACUGCGGCGGAGGUAGGCUGGCCUCAGCCCAGCUCCCCCAGGGUCUCCCCCGGAGCGCCGGCCUCCCAGCACGCGAGCAGCCCCCUCCCACCCAGUCCCGCGGCCGCCUCCAGUCCCCCUGCGCCCGGGAAGCCUCCACCUCGCCCGCCCUGACACCGAGGUCCCAGUAUCCAAAGCGCCCCCAGGGCCCCGCCCGCAACAGGGGAAGUUGCAGCCCGCCGCUCUCGGUCACCUUGGCCGUCACCGAGGGGCCUCGCUUGCGGAAGCCCUCGGCCCCCGAAGAAAACACAAGUGCGCCGAGCCCCACGCAAAGCACGAGAGGUAGCAGCAGCCGAGGACCCGGGCCCAUGGCUGGAAUGCUACAACUACAUUCUCCAAGACUACCUUGUAGCUAGUUUCUGCAUGUGACCUAGCUAUCACCAAGAAGACAUAUUGCUUGAGACUAGGAGGCAGAGAUGCUAAAUGUGAAUGAUAGCUCUGCAGAGAGAGAGAUCAGAUCUUGCAAGUGCAGAGAACAAGACACCUGGAUUUCCUGGGACAGCUGCUCUGGGGAUUUUGGAUUCCAAAGGCCAGUUCUCUUGUCUUUCCAGAAAUUCUUACAAGAUAGUUGGCAGUCAUCCAUAAUCUCAGGAGAAGACAGCAAACUGGCCAAAAAGCAAAAGCAGAUGGAGGGAGGCUGGAGAGCAGAAUCAGUGAAGGAGUCGUGAUGAUGCUGCCCUGCUGGCUUGAGGGGUUCCAGCCAAGGAGUGCAGGUGGCCUCUAGAGGGUGGGAAAAGCAAGUUAAACGCAUUCUCCUCUAGAGCUUCCAGAAGGAACCAGCUCUACUGACACCUUAAUUUUAGCCCAUAGGACCCAUAAAGGAAGUAAUCGUUCUUGCACACUGGGCUUGGGGGCUGAAAUUCCUACUCUCUACACACCAAUGUUUUCACUUCUGCUUCAGGGGAGGGCAUCCACUGUGGGCCACAUGCUUUAUACAUGCUUGUUCUAGUUCAUCUUCACAACCCAAUGAGGUAAUAUCCCCAUUAUCAAUUUAAUUUAUUCCUGAAAAUGUGCCAGAUAGAGCAUUAUUGAAAUGGGCUUAUUCAAAAAUAAAUUGCAAUCAAUUUGGUCCAAUUAUCACCAAACGUCUCUUUUUUCUUUUUUUUUUUUUUUUGAUGGAGUCUCACUCUGUUGCCCAGGCUGGAGUGCAGUGGCAUCAUCUUGGCUCACUGCAGCCUCCGCCUCCUGGGUUCAAGUGAUUCUCCUGUCUCAGCCUCCCGAGUAGCUGGGAUUACAGGUGCUCACCACCAUGCCUGGCUAAUUUUUUUGUAUUUUAGUAGAGACGGGGUUUCACCAUGUUUGUCAGGCUGGUCUUAACUCCUGACCUCAAAUGAUCCGCCCGCCUCAGCCUCCCAAAGUGCUGGGAUUGCAGGCAUGAGCUAUCGUGCCCAGCCACCACCAAACAUCUUAAACAUCUAUGUAACAAUCCACCAAGGAUUUCCACAUCAUAUUAAAGUAUUCAGAACACCCAUCAUCUAAUUAUUAAAUACAUCAGUGAGUAUUUUGUGGGUAUUGUACUAUAUAGUAUUAAUACCAAUUAAAUUUUUCUUCUACACUGUAGAGAAUUGUAAUGCAGACUAACAACAUGCAUGUAUGUUAAAGAUACACAACAAAUGCAAAUAACACAAACAAAAUGCAGUUCUCUAGGGAGAAUGGCUGAGCUACAACUAUGAUGUUUUCUACUUCCUCUAGCUUAGGCUCCUGUGUGAAACAUAAACUUUUUCUCUGUUGUGCCCAUGAGAAUUCCUUCAAACUUGGGCGACCAUAUAAUUCACGGUCAAGUUGGCACAGUUUUUGUGAGUGAAAGGAGAGCAGUUAGUAAUUACAUUGCGGCUGAGUACAGUGGCUCACCUCUGUAAUCCUAGCACUUGGGAGGCUGAGGUGAGAGGAUAGGAUAGCUUGAGGCCAGAAGUUUGAGACCAGCCUGAGCAACAUAGCAAGACUCUUGUCUCUACAAGAAAGAAACAAAAGAAAACAAAAAAACUCACCGGGUGUGGUAGUGUGUGCCUGUAGUCCCAGCUACUCGGGAGGCUGAGGUGGGAGGAUCGCUUGAGUCCAGGAGUUCUGGGCUAUAGUGCACUUUGUUGAUCGGGUAUCCACACUAAGUUCGGCAACAAUAUGGUGACCUCCAAGGAGCAGGGGGCUCCCAAGUUGUCUAAGGAGGGGAGAAGCAGCCCAGUUGGGAAACAGAACAGGCCAAAACUCCCGCGCUGAUCAGUAGUGGGAUUGUGCCUGUGAAUAACCAUUUCACUCCAGCCUGGGCACCAUAGCAAGACUGCAUCUCUAAAAUAUAAAAAAAAUAAAAAUACUUAGCCAGAUGUGGUGACAUAUGCUUGUUGUCCUUCCUAGCUACCGGGGAGGCUGAGGUGGGAGGAUGGCUUGAGCCCACGUUAUGAGGUUAUGGUGCGCUAUGGUCAUGCCACUGUAUUCUAGCCUGGGCGACAGAAUGAGACCCUGUCUCUAAAAAUUAAUAAUUAUUGAUUAAUUAAUAAUUACCUUGGUAUAAUAGCUGAAACUGGAAUUGUCUAGGGCAAAGUGGGAUGUUAAGGAAUUUGGAAGAUUAAUAUGUCUUUAUGCAUUUUGCUCUCACCUUGUUUUUGCCAGAUCCUAAACUGUGAAGUCUUCUCUUUCCUUUUCCCUAACUUUAAAAAAUUUUACAUUUUCUAAAAUGCAAUAUAUUCUUGUCAUUUAAAAAAGCCAUGUUUUGUUUUCACCACACACAAGAAAGGUUACUUGUGAGACAAUGAAAGUGUUAAUUAGCUUGAUGGUGGUAAUCACUUGACGAG
rnacentral:lncRNA from 10 species